UAAAACAUAACAAAACCAAGUGUCCA
rnacentral:piRNA from 1 species